ensembl:lncRNA
UAAACCUACUGAGGUUAAAAUUUAUGGAGAUUCUGUACUAGGACUUGAGUUUUGAGGUAACUAUGAAUCUUGAGUAAUUUUUCUCAUGAAAUUGUUCUAACCUGAAGGAAAAGCAGUUUACUCUGGCAUCGCUGCCUUCAACAUUUGUAAUAGAUCCAGUUUUCUGCAGGAAUAAGUAAUAGCAGUCAUUUUAGGAAAAAAAUUUUUAAUUUAAGUUAAUGUCAUCCAAUAGGCAAUUCCAUUGCCAUUUUUGGUUAAUAGGUUUUUAUUCCUUCUACUAGGAAGGGGCAACUAUUUUCAUAUGUGUCAUUAUAUUGUUUUAUUUUCAGUUAUUUUAUAUUUAUUCCUCUGAAUGAAUGAACUGAUUUGAAUUAUUACUGUUAUUUUAUAGUUCAAGAAGUAAAUUACCCUAGUGAUUUUGAAAUUAAGUGGGGCUUUUUUGCUUCCUUUUUUUAAGUGCAGCUAUGAGUUUUUUAAUAAGUGGACUUUGAGAAUGCUUAUUGAUCAAAUUUUAGUUCAUCUCCCAUUGUAGCAAAGCAAAAAUCAUUUCACUACCCUUUAGAUAUUGUUCCUUCCAGCUCUGUUUCUUCAUUCUAGCCUCUGUUUUUUUGUUGUUGUUUUUUUCCCCUAUAUACUGCACUAAUUCAAACAGUCUCAAAUGGGAGACCAAUUGGAUGAAAAAACAAACUGGAUAGGUUAUAUGUAUCGUCUGUUUUGCCAUAUUGACUUGUAUUCAUUCCAGACACUUACAUAUUUUAUAAAAUUAAGACUCACAAUAGCUCACGAUUGGAAAUUUGGAUGCACAAGAUUGUUUUCAACAGAUAAUUCUUUAGAGCCAGAGUAUUCUCUUUACUUCACUUAUUUGAGUUUCAAAACAGUGUUUAGCUUGUUUUGCAAAACAUGUUUUGCAAGUUCACCUUUAUGAUCUUAUUGAUAUUUUACGAUACUCUGAUAACUUAAAAAGUGUCUCAAGAAAAAUAGAUUGAUGAGAAAAUAGAGCAGGUAGAGUAAUGCAAUAAAGUUCCUCCACAUAUUCAAUAUCACAUCCAACAAAGCAGAAUCAUGUGAUAGCAGCAACUUAUUAUUGCCUUGCAUUAACUGAAAGAAUGUAUUCACUCAUUGAAAACCACUUAGGUAGGGGUCCACACCUUGAGAUGGUGAAGAUGGUACAUUAUCUUCCUUGUAAGAAAGAAUACAGCAUCAUUAGGUGAAAGCAUUCUGAUCUUGUUAAAAGAUGUUUCCACGAAUUUAAAGCAAGCUUAAGUAGAAGUGCAAGUCAGAGUUAUACUUAUUAACUAAUUAUUUAGGUAAUCUCUAUUCGUAUUGAUCAUUUUAAACCAUGUGGAUUAGAAAUAAAAAGGAAGCAGGGAAUAUGGAACCAAAUUUUGUCAAGUUCAACUGUGCAAGGUUCAAGAUACAUUUCCCAUAGAGUACACUGGGAAAUUCAUAGAUCAAUAAAAAUUUUCUCCUUAGAGUUUUUUCCUUUUCUUCCAUUUUUUUUUCAUGUAAUGCGUGUGAAUUACCAUUAAUUUCUCUUUGUCUUGUGAGAUUCCCAAAGACUUAUCAAGACAUUUUGUAGUCUUCCUUUCUACCUACAAUUAUAUGGUUCAUACAGAUUUCCUUUCUUAGAUGCGUGAUGGUAUUUUAUUAAACAAUUUCUAUUUUAUGUGUCUUGCAUGUUUAGUUGUUCUGAUAUAGUUGAAUGUUUAAAUCUUUUAAGUGCAAAGUAUGAAAAAACCAUCUCCUCAUAUUCAUUUCAAUUUAAUUCAACAAACAUUUACUGACUUCAAUAUCAGAUCAGAUCAGAUGCUCAGUCGUGUCCGACUCUUUGCGACCCCAUGAAUCACACUACGCCAGGCCUUCCUGUCCAUCACCAUCUCCCAGAAUUCACUCAAACUCAUGUCCAUUGAGU